rnacentral:rRNA from 1 species
AGGCUAUGGCUAAUCAGCUUGUUGGUGAGGUAAAAGCUCACCAAGGCAAUGACGAGUAGCGGGCGUAAGAGCGUGACCCGUCCCACUGGAACUGAGACACUGUCCAGACUCCUACGGGAGGCUGCAGUCAAGAAUCUUUCGCAAUGGCCGAAAGGCUGACGGAGCAAUACCGCGUGAAGGAAGACACCCCUCGGGGCGUAAACUUCUUUUCUUAGGGAAGAAUUAGUGACGUUACCUAAGGAAUAAGCAACUGCUAACUUCGUGCCAGCAGCAGCGGUAAUACGAAGGUUGCAAGCGUUAUCCGGAAUCAUUGGGCGUAAAGCGUCUGUAGGAUGUUUACCAAGUCUCAAAUUAAAACUCUAGGCUCAACCUAGAGCUAGUUUGAGAAACUGAUAAACUAGAGACUGGGGGAGGCAAGCGGAAUGGCCGGUGUAGUAGUAAUAUGCAUUGAUAUCGGCUAGAACACCAAAUGCGAAGGCAGCUUGCUAUAACAGUCCUGACUCUGAGAGACGAAAGCGUGGGUAGCGAAUGGGAUUAGAUUUCUUGGUAGUC